rnacentral:misc_RNA from 1 species
UUGCACACUUGCGAGUCCGUG